GUGGGGAAUAUUGGGCAAUGGGGGCAACCCUGACCCAGCGACGCCGCGUGAGGGAAGAAGGCCUUAGGGUCGUAAACCUCUGUUGUGUGGGAAGAAGGAAGUGACGGUACCACACGAGGAAGUCCCGGCUAACUACGUGCCAGCAGCCGCGGUAAUACGUAGGGGACGAGCGUUGUCCGGAUUUACUGGUCGUAAAGGGGGCGUAGGCGGUCAUUUAAGUCAGGUGUGAAAUGGUUUGGCUUAACCGGAUCAUGCGGAUGAAAGGGGAGGACUGGAGUGCUGGGGAGGCAAGUGGAAUUCCCAGUGUAGCGGUGAAAGGCGUAGAUAUUGGGAAGAACACCGGUGGCGAAGGCGACUUGCUGGCCAGCAACUGACGCUGAGGCGCGAAAGCCAGGGGAGCAAACGGGAUUAGAAACCCCUGUAGUCC
rnacentral:rRNA from 1 species